AGCCACACUGGGACUGAGACACGGCCCAGACUCCUACGGGAGGCAGCAGUGGGGAAUUUUGGACAAUGGGGGAAACCCUGAUCCAGCCAUCCCGCGUGUGCGAUGAAGGCCUUCGGGUUGUAAAGCACUUUUGGCAGGAAAGAAACGUUCCGGGUUAAUACCCGGAAACUGACGGUACCUGCAGAAUAAGCACCGGCUAACUACGUGCCAGCAGCCGCGGUAAUACGUAGGGUGCAAGCGUUAAUCGGAAUUACUGGGCGUAAAGCGUGCGCAGGCGGUUCGGAAA
rnacentral:rRNA from 1 species